UUUUGAAACCCAGCCAGUCGGAGGGUCGUUAUUAUCGCUGCUGGCCGGCGAUACUUCCUCUUUUUCUUUCUAGCAGCUUAGGCUGUACUCUGUUACAAAGUCCAAACACCAGAUACAAGGAAAAGAGUAGUCAGGGAAUGUUCAGUUUUUCUUUUCUUACUGAGCCCACCUAUUAUGGAACCAUUAAAAUACUUAACUAGAGUAUGAAGCGAUGUGAAAUAAUGCCUAUGUUAGAUUUAAGAGGCAAAGUAUAAAUUCAUAAAUAGUAGAAUCAUAUUUUAAAGCACUCAAAUGAGGGAGGAGAAAAAGGACCAGAAGAAAUUACAACCUAUCACCUGUAUUUGGAUAAUAGCGUUAUGUUACUUUUUUCUUUUUGCUGUAUUUUCUAAAUUUUUCUGAAAAAAAUUAUGUUUUUGCGCUGGGAAAUAUUUAAAAGCUUUUCUAAGGAAACAGUCAAUCUGAUAAGGAUUUCUUUAUGAAGAUAGACAUCACAACAACACUGUUUCUAUUGAAGAGAAAUUGGCAUCCAACGAUAGAAAUGUGCAUUAGUGAGCAAGCCAUGACAUCAUACUGCUGGAAUGCUGCAAUUAGCCCAACUCUUGCCUGCUGGUUAGAGAAAGUUUUCAUCUCAGAAGAAGGAGUCUCUCAGAAUCACUGUUCUUUUGUACCGUAUGACUGAGAUCCUACUGGAGGCUGCUACCACUCACCAAGCAACUCAGGCUCGGUUUCCUCUACUUUUCAUAAUACAUGUGGGUUUGAGACUCAUUUGUCUUCACUCACACAGUCUGAGAGAUGCAGAAAAAGUUUGCUGAAUAUUGAGUUUUGUCAAGCAUAAAGGAUGAUAUUCUGCUUCAUUUUAUAAAUAAAAUAUGACAAUGCCUGGCAAGACUGACUGAACUUUUGUCUUGAUGACUCAGCCAAGGCUCAGGAUCCUCCACUCUUGUCAGCUGUCUGGUUUGAUUCUGCUGCCGCUGUCACUCCUGCCUGUGAAUCCAGUGACGCCUCUGGAACAGAACAUUAUUGGAUACUGAUUGACUACUUGGGUAAAAUAACAGCCUGAGGGGAAUUCUACUUCUGAAGGAAGGCAUGGCAGUGUCUGGCUUUGAAAUCUUCUCCAAAGGAUUCCUAAGGGAAUAGCUGUAAAUUUCUCACUUUCAGGAAUACUGAAAUGCUACUCCUUGGCCUAAGUUAGCCUUAUUGUAGACAGGAGUCAUUGACCUUCGAAUGAUAUCCAGGUGGGGUCUUGUCUCGAUGUUUUUAGCAACUUUGAAGAAAAAGAGAUCUUGGGUUUGGUUGUUAAGUCUAGAAAUAUUAAUUUCUGGCGGUAAAAUUACUACUGAGUUAGUUAUGUUUCUUACUAUUUAGCAACAUGGGAGCUCAUUUUUUAAAAAUUAAAAAAAAAAUUUUUAUAAACAUAUAAUGUAUUUUUAUCCCCAGGGGUACAGGUCUGUGAAUAGCCAGGUUUACACACUUCACAGCACUCACCAUAGCAUAUACCCUCCCCAAUGUCCAUAACCCCACCCCCCUCUCCCAAACCCCCUCCACCCAGCAACCCUCAGUUUGUUUUGUGAGAUUAAGAGUCAUUUAUGGUUUGUCUCCCUCCCAAUCCCAUCUUGUUUCAUUUAUUCUUCUCCUAUCCCCUUAACCCCCCCCCCAAUGUUGCAUCUCCACUUCCUCAUAUCAGGGAGAUCAUAUGAUUAUUGUCUUUCCCUGAUUAACUUAUUUCACUAAGCAUGAUACCCUCUAGUUCCAUCCAUGUUGUCACAAAUGGCAAGAUUUCAUUUCUUUUGAUGGCUGCAUAGUAUUCCAUUGUGUAUAUAUACCACUUCUGCUUUAUCCAUUCAUCUGUUGAUGGACAUCUAGGUUCUUUCCAUAGUUUGGCUAUUGUAGACAUUGUUGUUAUAAACAUUCGGGUGCACGUGCCC
ensembl:lincRNA